rnacentral:rRNA from 1 species
GUAGGGUGCAAGCGUUAAUCGGAAUUACUGGGCGUAAAGCGUGCGCAGGCGGUUUUGUAAGUCUGUCGUGAAAGCCCCGGGCUCAACCUGGGAAUUGCGAUGGAGACUGCAAGGCUUGAAUCUGGCAGAGGGGGGUAGAAUUCCACGUGUAGCGGUGAAAUGCGUAGAGAUGUGGAGGAACACCGAUGGCGAAGGCAGCCCCCUGGGUCAAGAUUGACGCUCAUGCACGAAAGCGUGGGGGGAGCAAACAGGAUUAGAUACCCUGGUAGUCCACGCCCUAAACGAUGUCUACUAGUUGUCGGGUUUUAAUUAACUUGGUAACGCAGCUAACGCGUGAAGUAGACCGCCUGGGGAGUACGGUCGCAAGAUUA